rnacentral:rRNA from 1 species
AUUGAACGCUGGCGGCAUGCUUUACACAUGCAAGUCGAACGGUAACAGGCCGCAAGGUGCUGACGAGUGGCGAACGGGUGAGUAAUGCAUCGGAACGUGCCCAGUCGUGGGGGAUAACGCAGUGAAAGCUGCGCUAAUACCGCAUACGAUCUAUGGAUGAAAGCGGGGGACCGUAAGGCCUCGCGCGAUUGGAGCGGCCGAUGUCAGAUUAGGUAGUUGGUGAGGUAAAGGCGCACCAAGCCGACGAUCUGUAGCUGGUCUGAGAGGACGACCAGCCACACUGGGACUGAGGCACGGCCGAGACUCCUACGGGAGGCAGCAGUGGGGAAUUUUGGACAAUGGGCGCAAGCCUGAUCCAGCAAUGCCGCGUGCAGGAAGAAGGCCUUCGGGUUGUAAACUGCUUUUGUACGGAACGAAAAGGCUCUGGUUAAUACCUGGGGCUCAUGACGGUACCGUAAGAAUAAGCACCGGCUAACUACGUGCCAGCAGCCGCGGUAAAAC